GACGAGGGACCCUAGCGUUGUUCGGAAUCAUUGGGCGUAAAGCGGGUGUAGGUGGCUUUGUAAGUCAGGUGUGAAAUCCCAGGGCUCAACCCUGGAAGUGCAUUUGAUACUGCGAAGCUUGAGUGCCGGAGAGGUUACUGGAAUACCUGGUGUAGUGGUGAAAUACGUAGAUAUCAGGAAGAACACCCGUGGCGAAGGCGGCUCUCUGGAACGCAACUGACGCUGAGACGCGAAAGCGUGGGGAGCAAACAGG
rnacentral:rRNA from 1 species